GCCCGGGUGUUGUGAAACAGGUAGACGCNGGGACUCAAAAUCCCCCGCCGCAAGGCGUGUCGGUUCGAGUCCGACCCCGGGCACCA
rnacentral:tRNA from 1 species